rnacentral:misc_RNA from 1 species
GAUGAAGAACGCAGCGAAAUGCGAUAAGUAAUGUGAAUUGCAGAAUUCAGUGAAUCAUCGAAUCUUUGAACGCACAUUGCGCCCGCCAGUAUUCUGGCGGGCAUGCCUGUUCGAGCGUCAUUACAACCCUCAGGCCCCCGGGCCUGGCGUUGGGGAUCGGCGGAGCCCCCCGUGGGCACACGCCGUCCCCCAAAUGCAGUGGCGGUCCCGCCGCAGCUUCCAUCGCGUAGUAGCUAACACCUCGCGACUGGAGAGCGNCGCGGCCACGCCGUAAAACACCCAACUCUUCUGAAGUUGACCUCGAAUCAGGUAGGAAUACCCGCUGAACUUAAGCAUAUCAAUAAGCGGAGGA